rnacentral:rRNA from 1 species
CGCCGAGCAAUACGGGAGCGGCAGACGGGUGAGUAACACGUGGGAACGUGCCUUUCGGUUCGGAACAACCCAGGGAAACUUGGGCUAAUACCGGAUACGCCCUUACGGGGAAAGAUUUAUCGCCGAAAGAUCGGCCCGCGUCUGAUUAGCUAGUUGGUGGGGUAAUGGCCCACCAAGGCGACGAUCAGUAGCUGGUCUGAGAGGAUGAUCAGCCACAUUGGGACUGAGACACGGCCCAA